AUUGAACGCUGGCGGCAUGCCUUACACAUGCAAGUCGAACGGUAACGGGCCUUCGGGUGCCGACGAGUGGCGAACGGGUGAGUAAUACAUCGGAACGUGCCCGAUCGUGGGGGAUAACGAGGCGAAAGCUUUGCUAAUACCGCAUACGAUCUACGGAUGAAAGCAGGGGACCGCAAGGCCUUGCGCGGACGGAGCGGCCGAUGGCAGAUUAGGUAGUUGGUGGGAUAAAAGCUUACCAAGCCGACGAUCUGUAGCUGGUCUGAGAGGAUGAUCAGCCACACUGGGACUGAGACACGGCCCAGACUCCUACGGGAGGCAGCAGUGGGGAAUUUUGGACAAUGGGCGCAAGCCUGAUCCAGCCAUGCCGCGUGCAGGAUGAAGGCCUUCGGGUUGCAAACUGCUUUUGUACGGAACGAAAAGCCUUCUUUUAAUACAGGAGGGUCAUGACGGUACCGUAAGAAUAAGCACCGGCUAACUACGUG
rnacentral:rRNA from 1 species